CAUAAAUAUAUCUUUAUAAAUAGUUAUUUAUCAAUAUAUAUUUAGAAAUAUAUAUAUUUAGAAAUAUGCAUUUUUUGCCUUUUUUUAGAUAUAUAUCUAUUUAAAAAAGGCUUAUUAUCUUGCAGUCAGAAACUAUAAAGGGAUCACGAUGGAGGGCGCUGUUUGCCGUUGUUAUGGCCGCUUAUUCCGUCAAAUUAUUUUUAUUUACGAGGACAAUACCCCAAGAGAUUGCGUAACCGCAGUCCUCAAAUUUUACUUGAAAGUAACACGUGGUAGUCGUAUUUGUUUAAAAAUCAUUUUACGCUAAAAAAUCAUGUGAACUAUGCAAAAAAAAAUACUAAAUAGAUUCCCUCAAAGUUUAAAGUUUACAAAAUACUGAAAAUAGUAACCAAAAGGAGAAUCCGUAUAUUACAGCAAUAUAACAAAAUAUGUCGUUGGUGAUAAAAAAAAAUUGUUGAUCACUCCAAAUCGAAGAGACGAUGACGUCAUCGAGUCGUUCCCCCCUCCCCGUGUUAAACGACCAGCUCAACGCCAGCUCGUCUAGCCGGCGCCAUAAAGACGGCGUGGAAGUGAAGUGCUCCCUUCGUAGCUUCUUGACCGCGUGACCUCAUCGUGACGCUCAUCCUCUCCUAGGCUCGUCUCCUAGGCUCGUCUCCUAGGACUGACACCGAGAAGCCGCAGCGGAGACAGAGAUGUGGGGUGAUGAAGGAAUCCUGUGUGCACAUCACAAAAAAACACACACAAAAUGACCAAAAGUCCUGAUGAUGAAAUGAAAAGACAAUAAAAUAUGGGGGUAAAAAACACCUCGAGGUAUUUUGGCCUCGUUAAAAAAAAGUUAUUUUCUUUCUGUGUUAUUCUGCUGUAACUCACUUAAAAAGGGGAGACGGGAAGUUCCUGUAUGUACUGGAAUGUAUGUAGUCCGAUUUACUUUUUGACCAAUUGUGUUCCGUCACAAGGGCUCAGGGGGCGGAGCCUGUUGGGGAAAAGACACGUAUCGACCAAUGGGGUUUCGUCUUUGUUUUUGUUUUUUUGUCUGCCCUUCCCGCACCACAACGCACAGUAUGACGCUCUCACCACGGAUCUAGUGCAGAGGGGCUCUCCAGCCGGUUGGUUUUUGCAGUGCGAGUCACCGAUUUCAUUCCCUCAGUUCCUACUCCUCUGUUCUCCAUCUGAAGCUCGUCAACAAAACAUCCUGUGCGUGUUUUUUGUAUUUAUAUUGUAUUGUUGAACUUAAAGCAAUGAAAUACUGUUGUUAUCCAGCUCCUUUAAUACUGUUUUAUAGUAUGUGUACCAAUAAAUCCAGGUGUAAAACGGGACAUAA